CACGUAGUUAGCCGGGGCUUCUUAGUCAGGUACCGUCUUGUCCCGUUCCUGCUGAUAGAGCUUUACAUACCGAAAUACUUCUUCACUCACGCGGCGUCGCUGCAUCAGGGUUUCCCCCAUUGUGCAAUAUUCCCCACUGCUGCCUCCCGUAGGAGUUUGGGCCGUGUCUCAGUCCCAAUGUGGCCGUCCACCCUCUCAGGCCGGCUACUGAUCGUCGCUUUGGUAGGCCGUUACCCUGCCAACUGGCUAAUCAGACGCGGGUCCAUCCCAUACCACCGGAGUUUUUCACACAGGAGCAUGCGCUCCCGUGCGCUUAUGCGGUAUUAGCACCUGUUUCCAGGUGGUAUCCCCCGGUAUGGGGCAGGUUACCCACGCGUUACUCACCCGUCCGCCACUAAGAUACUCAUUUCCAAAGUGCAAGCACCCCUUCCGUCAGCACUCCCCGUUCGACCUUGCAUGUGUUAACGCACCGCCGCCAGUCCGUUCAUCCUGACGUCCAGGACUACAAACUCU
rnacentral:rRNA from 1 species